GCGCGAAAACUUUACAAUGCGGGAAACCGUGAUAAGGGGACACCGAGUGCCAGCAUCAUAUGCUGGCUGUCCGGAUGUGUAAAAUACAUCCGUUAGCAAGGGCCGGGCAAGACCGGUGCCAGCCGCCGCGGUAACACCGGCGGCCCGAGUGGUGAUCGUGAUUAUUGGGUCUAAAGGGUCCGUAGCCGGUUUGGUCAGUCCUCCGGGAAAUCUGAUAGCUCAACUAUUAGGCUUUCGGGGGAUACUGCCAGACUUGGAACCGGGAGAGGUAAGAGGUACUACAGGGGUAGGAGUGAAAUCUUGUAAUCCCUGUGGGACCACCUGUGGCGAAGGCGUCUUACCAGAACGGGUUCGACGGUGAGGGACGAAAGCUGGGGGCACGAACCGG
rnacentral:rRNA from 2 species